rnacentral:misc_RNA from 1 species
UCCGGUUUGGCACCGGCAGUCCUCCCAGAGUCCUCGGCGUUACCCGGUAGCAACUGGGAGCGGGGGUUGCGCUCGUUGCGGGACUUAACCCAACAUCUCACGACACGAGCUGACGACAGCCAUGCAGCACCUGUCUAAGGAUCCCGAAGGAGGGGCUCGGUUUCUCGAGCCUUUCCCCUAGAUGUCAAGCCCAGGUAAGGUUCUUCGCGUUGCGUCGAAUUAAACCACAUGCUCCACCGCUUGUGCGGGCCCCCGUCAAUUCCUUUGAGUUUCAGCCUUGCGGCCGUACUCCCCAGGCGGGGCACUUAAUGCGUUAGCGCCGGCACCCAGGGGGUCGCUCCCCCAGGCACCUAGUGCCCAUCGUUUACGGCGUGGACUAC